GGGGGCGAUUGGAGUUGACGGGAUGAUGUCCGGUCAGGUUGCGAGCCGAGGAGCCUAUGGCCUCGUAAAAAUGGGCAAAAAAACAAAUGCAAAAACGAAUAACUUCGCUACUGCACGCAACAUCGCUCCGGCGACGUUCGCAUACGCCGCCUAACUUCGGUUAGGUGCGCACCGCCCCUUCUCGAACUGGCGAAAUGGUCGAGAGGCGGCUAACCAACAUUCGCUACCCGGUGGCAAAGCACGUAGCCAUCGCGGGAAAAUAACGCGCUUACCAAAGCGGUAGCCGGUAAACGGGCGACCACGCGGGAAAAUUAAAUCGUAGACUACGCUCGUAGAUGCUUGUAUUAGGUACGUUUCGGACCAGAGUUCGAGUCUCUGCGCCUCCACUA
rnacentral:tmRNA from 1 species